GGGCCAGUAGCUUAGCGGUUUAAAGCACCGUCCUUAUAAGACGGGGAGCGAUGGUUCGAAUCCAUCCUGGCCCA
rnacentral:tRNA from 2 species